rnacentral:rRNA from 1 species
UAAACUAGGAUUAGAUACCCUAUUAUUUUGUAUAUAAACUUUUUACUUAGGUAAUAAAAGUUAUUUCUUUAAACCUAAAGAAUUUGGCGGUGUAUUAUUCUUUUUAGAGGAACUUGUUAUGUAAUCGAUAGUCCUCGUUUUAUCUUUCUUUAAACUUGUUAUCAGUAUGUAUACCGUUGNUAUAAG